UGGUUAGUACGAGAGGGAGAUAGUUAUGUUGAAGGAGGACAUCAUUAUAUGAACCAUAUGUAUUUUGUAAAAAAUCUAUCAUUGUAUCUAUGUGAACCAUAUGUUAAUGGUGGAUGCAAAACUUAAAAGAAAAUUAAGUUUCCCUUUCUAAAAUGGUAAUGUGUUAGAAAGAUAAUGUGCAUGGAAAUUAGUGAACAACACAGUGUUUCACCAGCAAUUUGAAUAUCAACAUUCUCUCAGGCCUU
rnacentral:lncRNA from 1 species